UACGUAGGCAGCGAGCGUUGUUCGGAGUUACUGGGCGUAAAGCGUGCGUAGGCGGUCCCACAAGUCUGUUGUGAAAUCUCCCGGCUCAACUGGGAGGGUGCGGUGGAAACUGUGGGGCUGGAGUAUGGGAGAGGUAGGCGGAAUUCCUGGUGUAGCGGUGAAAUGCGUAGAUAUCAGGAGGAACACCAGCGGUGUAGACGGCUUACUGGACCAUCACUGACGCUGAGGCACGAAAGCUAGGGGAGCAAACAGG
rnacentral:rRNA from 1 species